rnacentral:rRNA from 1 species
AGAAUCAACGCUGGCGGCGUGCCUAACACAUGCAAGUCGCACGAGAAAGUGGAGCAAUCCACGAGUAAAGUGGCGCACGGGUGAGUAACACGUGAAUAAUCUACCUCCGAGUGGGGAAUAACUGAGAGAAAUCUUAGCUAAUACCGCAUAAUACCCACGGGUCAAAGCAGCAAUGCGCUUGGAGAGGAGUUCGCGGCCGAUUAGCUAGUUGGCGGGGUAAUGGCCCACCAAGGCGAUGAUCGGUAUCCGGCCUGAGAGGGCGCACGGACACACUGGAACUGAAACACGGUCCAGACUCCUACGGAGGCAGCAGUGGGGAAUUUUGCGCAAUGGGGGAAACCCUGACGCAGCAACGCCGCGUGGAGGAUGAAAUCCCUUGGGAUGUAAACUCCUUUCGAUAGGGAAGAUAAUGACGGUACCUAUAGAAGAAGCCCCGGCUAACUUCGCGCCAGCAGCCGC